UAACAGCAGCCAGAAUAAACCUCGAUAAGAAGACAAAGAGCCAGAUAGCGAGGGAGAGGAGGAUCAAUAGAGGAAGAGUGGAGAUGGAUGGAUGAAGACGGACUGAAAGAAUCAAUCGGAGGAGAAAGUUUGAACGGCUGAGAGGCUUCAUGUUGGCCUACAGCACUGGAGGCGGUGUUGCAGCAGUAGCUAAAUAUAAAGCAGAGUGCUGUCUCUCCGAACGCCUCGCUGCAAAACGCUUCCAUGCAUGAUGCAAAAGAAGAAGAAAAACACAACAUGAACAACAGCAAAUAUUCACCGCCUCUUCCUCCACCCUGCGUGUUUAUCUCCCCUGCACCUCCUCCUCCUCCUCCUCCUCCCCUGUGACUCCACACACACAAAAGGACCAGCAAUUAAAUUAGACGAUAAGGAUGUGAAAUAAAUCAGCAGAAGAGCCGGCGAGGUUUCAGACAACAGACGGAGCAGCUUCCGGAAAACAGGACGGGAUUAAAAUCAUCAGAGGCUGGAAAACCAGAGGAAUGUUUCUGAUACGUCGGCCGAGAGCCACAGCGUUUGUUCUUCUCUAAACGUUCAAAUAAAAAUAAAAAAAGCUGCUUGCAAAUGAUUUAUUCCAGCAUUGACAGCCUGUAAAGUCUCCAAUUUCAGUGUUUUGUUGAUUACAGAUGUAGAACUACUUCAACGUGUUUUUAUUUCAGGUAGAAAGUAGCAGGAAAUCACUCAG